UACGGAGGGAGCUAGCGUUGUUCGGAAUUACUGGGCGUAAAGCGUACGUAGGCGGUUAUUCAAGUCAGAGGUGAAAGCCCGGGGCUCAACCCCCGGAACUGCCUUUGAAACUAGAUAGCUAGAAUCUUGGAGAGGUCAGUGGAAUUCCGAGUGUAGAGGUGAAAUUCGUAGAUAUUCGGAAGAACACCAGUGGCGAAGGCGACUGACUGGACAAGUAUUGACGCUGAGGAGCGAAGGCGUGGGGAGCGAACAGG
rnacentral:rRNA from 1 species